CGGACGGGUGAGUAACGCGUGGGUAACCUGCCCUGUACAGGGGGAUAACAGUUAGAAAUGACUGCUAAUACCGCAUAAGACCACAGCACCGCAUGGUGCAGGGGUAAAAACUCCGGUGGUACAGGAUGGACCCGCGUCUGAUUAGCUAGUUGGUGAGGUAACGGCUCACCAAGGCGACGAUCAGUAGCCGGCUUGAGAGAGUGAACGGCCACAUUGGGACUGAGACACGGCCCAA
rnacentral:rRNA from 1 species